rnacentral:misc_RNA from 1 species
UCGAUUUUGGACCCCCUUCAGCGUUUUCUUGCUCGCCAGUCCCACAAAUCGCAAACUCGGUCCAAAAUCGAGCUCAGAUCGUGGCAGCGUCGUCCUCCCUUGUCCUUUUUCUAAGCCAAUCGUACAAACGAGACAGGUGUUGCGAUCUUGAUAGCUCAAUCGUCCUUCUCAAGAGAUUAAGCCUUCCAAAUCAAUUUUCCGUCGGAAUUAGUCUUAUUUUCAAAUUACUCACAGUCCCGCAUCGACUCUAGGCUGUGAUUUUCACAUUUCUCAACUCCUAUAAGUAGGCCCUUCUCUUCACUGUUCAAUUUUUGGAGACUAAAGAGUGCCCUAAAGGUUUUGGGAAUUCUUUGUUCCAUAGUUCAAAAUUUUGUGGCUGUUCG